ACAAGCAGUGGAGUAUGUGGUUAAUUCGACGCAACGCGAGAACUUACCAGGCUUGACAUCGCUUGAUCGCUCUAGAGAUAGAGCUUUCCCUUCGGGACAAGUAGACAGGUGGUGCAUGGUUGUCGUCAGCUCGUGUCGUGAGAUGUUGGGUUAAGUCCCGCAACGAGCGCAACCCUUAUUGUCAGUUGCCAGCAUUCAGUUGGGCACUCUGGCGAGACUGCCGGUGUUAAACCGGAGGAAGGUGGGGAUGACGUCAAGUCCUCAUGGCCCUUAUAUCCAGGGCUACACACGUGCUACAAUGGCCGGUACAAAGGGUCGCAAUACCGCGAGGUGGAGCUAAUCCCAAAAAGCCGGUCUCAGUUCGGAUUGGAGUCUGCAACUCGACUCCAUGAAGUCGGAAUCGCUAGUAAUCGCGUAUCAGCGUGACGCGGUGAAUACGUUCCCGGGCCUU
rnacentral:rRNA from 1 species